AUUGAACGCUGGCGGCAUGCCUUACACAUGCAAGUCGAACGGUAACAGGUCUUCGGAUGCUGACGAGUGGCGAACGGGUGAGUAAUACAUCGGAACGUGCCCGAGAGUGGGGGAUAACGAGGCGAAAGCUUUGCUAAUACCGCAUACGAUCUAAGGAUGAAAGCGGGGGAUCGCAAGACCUCGCGCGAUUGGAGCGGCCGAUAUCAGAUUAGGUAGUUGGUGGGGUAAAGGCUCACCAAGCCAACGAUCUGUAGCUGGUCUGAGAGGACGACCAGCCACACUGGAACUGAGACACGGUCCAGACUCCUACGGGAGGCAGCAGUGGGGAAUUUUGGACAAUGGACGCAAGUCUGAUCCAGCCAUUCCGCGUGCAGGAUGAAGGCCCUCGGGUUGUAAACUGCUUUUGUACGGAACGAAAAGGUCUCUCUUAAUACGGGGGACUCAUGACGGUACCGUAAGAAUAAGCACCGGCUAACUACGUGCCAGCCGCCGCCGUAAUAC
rnacentral:rRNA from 1 species